GAAAAGCAAUCCGGGGGGGAGGCGACCGAGCGAAGUUUGGUAGAUCGUAGGGAUUGUCGCUGGCCUUUGGAAACGAAGGCAUGUGCACGUUCCGAGUUCUCCUUAGUCCUCCUUUGCCUUUCCUUUGGAAAACCCUUUCUUCACACCCGUGCACCCAUUGUAGGUCUCCGCGAGGGGAUCUAUGUCUUCACAUAAACACUACGUAUGUCUAGGAAUGUAUCUAAAAGCGUCGGACGGCUUGGCUUCGUGCCCGGUCGGCGACGGUAAAGAACCAUAAUACAACUUUCAGCAACGGAUCUCUUGGCUCUCGCAUCGAUGAAGAACGCAGCGAAUUGCGAUAAGUAAUGUGAAUUGCAGAUUUUCAGUGAAUCAUCGAAUCUUUGAACGCACCUUGCGCUCCUUGGUAUUCCGAGGAGCAUGCCUGUUUGAGUGUCAUUUAAUUCUCAACCAUCCCUCGAUUCGUUUCGAGGGUUUGGCUUGGAUUUUGGGGGCUGCCGGGCGACCCUAGGGUCUUCGGCUCUCCUUAAAAGCAUUAGCGAUGGCGGCGCGAUCUAACCCCCCCAUGCAUGAACGGCCUUU
rnacentral:rRNA from 1 species